rnacentral:rRNA from 1 species
GACAGAGGGUGCAAACGUUGCUCGGAAUCACUGGGCGUAAAGGGCGCGUAGGCGGGAAUGUAAGUCGGGCGUGAAAUCCCCAGGCUCAACCUGGGAACUGCACUCGAAACUGCGUUUCUUGAGUAUCGGAGAGGAAAGCGGAAUUCCUGGUGUAGAGGUGAAAUUCGUAGAUAUCAGGAGGAACACCAGUGGCGAAGGCGGCUUUCUGGACGGUAACUGACGCUGAGACGCGAAAGCGUGGGGAGCAAACAGG